rnacentral:lncRNA from 1 species
UCAGUAUGAGAUCCAUCACCAUAUUUAGUGAUUGCUUUCAUAUCCCUUUCUCGCAUUCUUCUUGUUUAAUUUGAUCUUGAAUCUUCUUCUCUUUUCUAAAGGUUGGCGAGUUUCAGAGAUGCAGAACUGUAAAAGGAAAGAAACUAUCUCCUACCUGCAAAGAGGUAAUUGACUCUAAACUCUUUUUCUUCUCUUAAAAUGAAAAGACAAAUAAGAUUAAAGAAUGUCCCAUCCUAAAUCCUCAGGGUGAUGAAAUAAAGGAAGGCCAAGUUGUCGGAUACUUACAUCAGUUGGGAACAGAACUUCCAGUGACGGUAAUAGCUUAAGCUAAUGUAUCCAUCUCUUCUUCGUAACUAUCAAAUAUUGUACUCAUCGAUCUUUGCUAUUCAUGAAACAGUCGGAUGUAGCUGGGGAAGUCCUCAAGUUUCUUUCAGAUGAGGGAGGUAAACAUUUUGAGUAUUCAAACCGUAUCAAUUAAUAUGAACAUUCAGAAAUCAUAUGAGAAAAUUAAUAUAAACUCUCAUGCUUCAUGUAAAAACAGACUCUGUAGGUUAUGGUGAUCCUCUGGUAGCGGUCUUACCAUCGUUCCACGAUAUCAACAUCCAGUGAGAAUGAUGGUUUCUUCAGCCCAAUUCCGCACCAAAUGAAUAACCUUCAU